CAACCCUCAAGCCCAAGCUUGGUAUUGGAUGCCACCUAACUAUACGGUGCAUCUCAAAAUUAGUGGCGGUGCCUUGCAGCUUUCAAGCGUAAUAAAUUUCUCGCUUCUAGAGUGUGUUGGUGCCUGCUUAAAACCUCCAAAUUAUCAAG
rnacentral:misc_RNA from 1 species